UUCGCUCCUCGUCCCGCCCCGCCUGCUCGGCGGCGGAGGCGGCGGCGGCGGCGGCGGCAGCAGUUGUCUCUGCCUCUCCGCCACCUCCACCCCGGCUCGUGUCCCGGCCGGCGGUGUUGGCGGGGAGGG
rnacentral:miRNA from 1 species